rnacentral:rRNA from 1 species
CCUACGGGUGGCAGCAGUGGGGAAUAUUGGGCAAUGGGCGCAAGCCUGACCCAGCGACGCCGCGUGAGGGAAGAAGGCCUUUGGGUCGUAAACCUCUGUUGUAUGGGAAGAAGGAAGUGACGGUACUAUAUGAAUAAGCACCGGCUAACUCCGUGCCAGCAGCCGCGGUAAUACGGAGGGUGCAAGCGUUACUCGGAAUCACUGGGCGUAAAGAGCGUGUAGGCGGGUUAUUAAGUCAGAAGUGAAAUCCUAUGGCUCAACCAUAGAACUGCUUUUGAAACUGGUAACCUAGAGUAUGGGAGAGGUAGAUGGAAUUUCUGGUGUAGGGGUAAAAUCCGUAGAGAUCAGAAGGAAUACCGAUUGCGAAGGCGAUCUACUGGAACAUUACUGACGCUGAGACGCGAAAGCGUGGGGAGCAAACAGGAUUAGAUACCCUAGUAGUC